rnacentral:lncRNA from 1 species
UGGGAUCUCAUAUCUAAGAGUUCUUAGGUAGAAAUCAUACGGGUAGAGAUUAGGAGAAAAAGACUGUAACUUGUGGAGUGUACUGAGAGUCUUUGAACUGAUUCUAUUUAGUGGAUUUCCUUCCUAGCUUGAUAGCCCCCAGACGUAGGUGAGUUGCACCGAAGUAGGUUAACAAUUGCUUGUGUCUCUUGCAUUACUAUUCUUUAUCUUUAUCCUGUUAGUUUUACUCAGAUAUUAGUGUCGUGGCAUUACCUUCGAC